AGGCUAUGAAUCAUCUUGUAUCAAGCCUCAGCUACAAAGGAAGUUCAAAGCUAGGCCAGGGUACUUGAAAUCCUGUCCCAAAAAAGUUUUCAAAGAAGUGGAUGGGGAGAUGGUUGAGUCAAUGAAAUGCCAACAAGGAAGCAUAGGCAACUUUCUAUCUCAGAUUCUAUUUACCAGGAACAUGACCUGAGACAGUAGAAACCAAGAAUGGACCAGGUAUUUGAGAGGCACAGGAAAAUGAUUAUAUAUGAAGACUGUGGAGCUGGUUGACUACUUGUUGGAUACUAUUUAAAAGAAAACAAAAGAUGCACAGUCAUUGUUGACUGAACAAUGAAUACAUUUUAAUAUGUAAUCUACUGUUUGCUACAAGAACUCAGAAGAAAUAACACAUUUAAUUAAAUGCAUCAGAACUUCAGAGGUAUCAACACACUCUUCAAAGGAUCCAGGGGAAAACACCAAUUACACAUUCCAGUAAACAUGCCCAUAGUAGACUGGAGAUUAUUAGUUAACACUCCAAUCAACCCAACAAACAUUUUUUGAGCCUAUACAUCAUGCACGAGGACUAUCUCUGUGAGGAAUACAAAG
rnacentral:lncRNA from 1 species